UGGAGAAUUCCUCACCCUGUGAGUCUUGGUAGGAGGCAGAGCUGGAUUCCAGCAGUGGAAGCUGAAAUGCUGUAAACUCACUUCUGUAUCUUCCCUUGCAGUUGGGCUGAGGAAACAGGAAAAAUACUCCACCACUUUGAGCUUCGACUGCUUUCUGUGAAAGUGUUGCUUGGAAAUUUGUGUGCAAUUGCAACAACCAGGAGAAAGCCACCAAGGAAGACGGGGUUCUUCCAUCCGCUGGCUGAUUCACAGCAGAACCGCUCCGGAGGAUGCAUGAGGAUACUCUCCUCUCUGUGGUGACCUCAACGAGAGCUUCUCCCCACUGCCACAGUUUAUUGGGCCAGAAUGAGCACCUCAACCUGCUCUGUGUGAACUCCAGGAGCAGAGAAGACAUCCAGGGACAAGAAUGAGGGCAGUGGAAAUACCAUAACACUUUUUUCAGGUACAGUUACAUCCUAUUCUUGCAUUGUUCCAUGAGGCACCUUGAUCUUUAUUGUAAAUUUCCUCUUUUUACUUGAAUUUAAUAAAUAUUCUAUGCUGGUGAGGUUGUAGCAAGUUAUAUUCAUACAGAGUUGGUGGUGUUGCAAAUUGUCAUGAAAUUUUCUAGAAAAUAUUUUGCAACAUGUAUUAAGAAUAUUAAAAAUAUUCAUACUAGUUGUGUCAUUUCUGGGAACAUACUGUGAAGAAUGUAUCAAACUCAUGUACUUGGAUGUUCAUCAUGGUGCAAUUUAUGACACCAAAAAAAUCACAAAAAAUCUAAAUGCUCCAAAAUAGGGAACUAGCUAACAAUAUCAGGGUGUGUCAAUAUUUUGUAAUAUUAUGCAAUUCUUAGAAUGGUUUAGAAAAUAUUUAAUGGUGCAGAACAUGACUAUGCCAUAAGAUUAAGUGAAAAAUCUGUAUACAAAAGCACUAUAUAUUAUGACUCCAAUAUCAUGAUUUAUAUAUUUACAUGUAUGUAUAAAGAAUACAAAAAGUAGAAAAUGCACCCA